CCUGAUCCAGCCAUGCCGCGUGAGUGAUGAAGGCCUUAGGGUCGUAAAGCUCUUUCGCCAGGGAUGAUAAUGACAGUACCUGGUAAAGAAACCCCGGCUAACUCCGUGCCAGCAGCCGCGGUAAUACGGAGGAUGCAAGCGUUAUCCGGAAUCAUUGGGUUUAAAGGGUCCGUAGGCGGACGAUUAAGUCAGGGGUGAAAGUU
rnacentral:rRNA from 14 species